CUGAGGUGGUGCUAUCGUCCUCUUUCGAUGCAAAAUGUUCCUUGAUGCGGAGGCUCCUGGCAAAAUUAUCCAGUUCAUCAGACAAUUUAGUAUCAUUCACUGGACUUGGGACUGGACAAAAGUUUAGGCCUCUGGAUAGUAGUGAAGUUUCGUCCUCAGUAAGUUGUUUGCUGGAGAGAUUAACAACGGUAUUGAUCUUAUUGCUGAGGACUUGAGGUCUACGUCUGAAAUGUCUGUUUUUGGUUUUAUUAUUAUUUUUUUCUUUUGUACUAAUGGAUGGGAAAGAAGUACCAUCCCGUUGAAAUUUGCAUCUUUGUCUGGAGCGGAGAGUGGCGGUCUUAGUGUUGGUUAUAUAUCGCAGGCGCUCUUGGAUGUUCUCGAAUUCGCUUGCUGUUAGAUCUUUUUUGCAAGCGUGAGAC
rnacentral:lncRNA from 1 species